UGGGGUGGCAGAACAGGUGAAUCAAAUCAAUUUCCAAGAUCCAUGCAUGUUGCCUUAGUGACGAGCUGAGACAUAUCUAAUCCUGGAAAAGAUCUACAAAGCUUCUUUGUGUCUUUCAUUUGAGUUUAUUAGAAGCAAAGAAAAACUUCUAUAACUUCAGAACCUACUAUUAUAACAGCCAUCACUCAAGGCCUAGUCUUCUUAUGCAGUUUUUCCUCACUCCAGCUUUUCAUGGCAUGAGCUCUGUGCAAGGUGGUUUGACCUGACACACUCUACAGCCUCCUGAAUGGAGAAACUCCCUUCCAACUAGAAAUUUUGGCUGCAUUGCAUGGGAGGAGGCAAGGCAAAGAGAGUAAACUCUCUAGAUACAUCACACACCUUUCUGUCAACCACAUUUCAAAUAUGAACUGAAAAUCCUAGUACUGUCUCAUUUCAGUUGAUGCCUUUUUUGUCUCUCAAAUCAGUGAGUCGAAUCAAUGGUACGUACCUUAGAAGGCAAUGCCAUGGAAGGCUUGCAUGUACAGUCACUCUGUAUUGAAAGCAAGUUAUAGUAACAGACACAGGAGGGAGAGCACAAUAAAAAGAUAGAUCUUAUUAGAUUAGUGUACUCAUGGAAAAAAGUUGUUAACAAUACUUGUCUUUCCUUGAUAUUUCUAUUCAGACUCUGCCGAUGUGAAA